rnacentral:piRNA from 1 species
UAGUCUGGGCUUUAACUACUUGGUCCUCUUC